GACGAACGCUGGCGGCGUGCUUAACACAUGCAAGUCGAACGAAGUGGCGAACGGGUGAGUAACGCGUAAUUAACCUGCCCUUAGGAGGGGGACAACAGUUGGAAACGACUGCUAAUACCCCAUACUGAAGGAGGGGAUUGCGUUUGAUUAGCUAGUUGGAGGGGUAACGGCCCACCAGGGCGAUGAUCAGUAGGCGGGCUGAGAGGAUGAACGGCCCAAAUGGGACGGGGACACGGCCCAGACUCCUACGGGGGGCAGGAGUGGGGAAUCUUCCGCAAUGGACGAAAGUCUGACGGAGCAACGCCGCGGGGGUGAUGACGGCCUUCGGGUUGUAAAGCUCUGUUAAUCGGGGCGCGGUACCGGAAUAGAAAGCCACGGCUAACUACGUGCCAGCAGCCGCGGUAAUAC
rnacentral:rRNA from 1 species